UAGAGACCUAGAAAAAAAAGAGUAAAACUCUUUGCAAACCGAGUUGAAGGACAGUGACAUUCCAGAAAAGCCUUUGGGGAUGGAAAUCAGGACCGUUGCCUGUUUCAUACCCAUUGCUUGUUCUUGGAGAAGAGGCACUCAGAUGAUAACCAGCAAGCCAAGGGACUCAGGGAAGCUGCAUUUGUGCACAUUUUUGAUCGUAGGAGCUGAGACCUGGAGAAAGCAGAUGGGCUCUUGUCCCAGGAAAUCUCCUUUCUGAUCACAAAUCUCUGAUUGUAUCCUGCCAUUUCUGGGCAGCAAAAGUGGUCUAAGAAUAUUCUGUUUUUUUCUUUGUAUCCACUUUUUGUGUGUGUGUGUCCAGACCUGUGAUUUCACCUGUAUGGGAAACUCCAUCUACCUAUGUAGACUAGCCCCUCCUCUGCAGCUGUAGUCUUCGGAGAGUUGCCUCGGGCACUGAGUGUGAUUCAGGGGUCACACAACCAAUAUGUUUCAGAGGCAGAUUUCAGCUUUAAGGCCAGCUCUAUCAGCGAUGACAUAUUGCUUGUCCCAAAUUUCCUAGCAUGUGAAUGUAAAAAGUGGAAAAAGGGUAGAAUAGCUGAGGUUCUGAGUUUUGUUGUUUCCCCCACACCAAAAAUGGGAAAACAUAGGCAAGUGACAGUCCUUCCUGGAGCAUUUGUUCAGAAUUUCCUCCAGGUCUACGAUACUCGGACUUUUACAAAGAACAGCCUACUUAACAGAUCAUAGAUUUGGGACCUAGAGGGCGCUUUUGGGGUCAUCUGGUCUAAUCUUAACUCCCAUUUUUCUUUCAAAAGGCAAAGAUCUUGGCUAGUCAUGUACCAUCGAGGUUGAUUGGCAACUCACCUUCUUCUUCGGUAUAAUUUAUGCAUUAAAUGGUCCAUGGAUUGGCUCCAGUAGACUACAGAUUGAUUAAGAUGGGAUGAAUUAAGAAAACUAAGGGAGAUUUUUAAAACAUGGACCAGGGAGCGUGGAGGACAUAUCCAUAGCUUAGCAGACAUCCUCUUUCUAAUUGAUGACAAUGUGCGGAUGCUCCUGCUGAGGCUUCUCCCCACCCUGUCCUUGUGCCAUUAAGCAGCUCUAGAGCCUAGGGAGUAUUGCUUGACCCAAUAAGGGCCCCGUUUCCUCAUGUGUCUUGUGUCAGGCAGGUAAGGAGGUGCUAGGACAGGAGGUGUUCACCUUUUCUGUGUCAUGGAUUCCUUCUCAGAGUUGCCUUUUAAAUAAUUUGAGGAAAUGCUAAGUUUCAGUUAGAGAUUCAUUAAUAUAAAGAUGUAAUUCUUUUUUCCUAUCAGAGUUCCUGGACCACUGAAAUCUGUCUAUAAACCCCUUGGGGAUCUUUGAACCCCAGGUUAAGAGCCACAGUCAAGGUAGUAAGAUGCGGCAUCACUUUCAAAGAGUAGAUCCACACCUGUCUCUUUGGAUAGUAUUCUACGAGCACUUUAAUUUAACAACCAUUUAUUAAGUAGGAGCUGAAUUAAUGUGUGGAGAGUGAUUUCGAAGUGACCACUUGGUGCCAGUCUACAGAAAGUGCCACCUUGAAAGUGCUUUCACUAUCUAUUUCCAGGGGCGGAGCCAAGAUGGCGGAGUGAAAGCAGUGCCU